rnacentral:lncRNA from 1 species
CCAUAACAGCAUACAUAGAGUAAGAAAUUCAUAGACAUAGGAACUAGAUUUAGGGCUUUGCAGUUAUGCAGGAAGUGACGAGAGACUGUAAAAAGGGUCUGCAGUUAGCAGUUGGCUGUACAACCCUGUGAAUAACCUAACUAAAUUGUAUAGGGAUAAAAUUUGUAAGAUAUGGUCUAAAUACUUUCGGUUGGUUGGUUGGUUUUGUUUUGUUUUUUUUGUUUUGUUUUUCAAGAUAGAAUUUCUCUGUGUAGCCCUGGUUGUCAUUGAACUCACUCUGUAAACCAGGCUGACCUUGAACUGAGAGAUCCCCCUGCUUCUGCCUCCAGAAUGCUGGAAUUAAAGGUGCGCACCACCACUACUGACUUGGUCUUGAAAUCAGUCCUUAAACUGAUCCUGCUGCCCUCUGCUUUCAAGGCUGGAAUAUCAGCCAUCUGCCUCCACAUUGAACACCUUGGCUUUUCUUUAGUUUUAUUUAAGAUCAUUUUUCUCUUCGUGUUUGAAUGCAUGUGUUUUGAGGUUAUGCGUGGUUUAUGGGGUUUUUUUUUGUGCAUAUUUUAGAGGCCAGGGAUCAAUGUCACUUUGGGGCAGAGGGGAAAGAAAAAUUCCUCACUAGCUAGCUGUUAACCUGGGCAGCCUAAUGUUAUUCUUUCAUUAUGUUUUACAUUUUCUUCUUUUUUAGUUAGAACUCUGUGAUUU